GACGAACGCUGGCGGCGUGCUUAACACAUGCAAGUCGAACGGAAAGGCCCUGCUUUUGUGGGGUGCUCGUGUGGCGAACGGGUGAGUCACACGUGUGUAACCUGCCUUUGACUUUGGGAUCACUUCAGGAAACUGGGGCUAAUACCGGAUAGGAGCUCCUGCUGCAUGGUGGGGGUUGGAAAGUUUCGGCGGUUGGGGAUGGACUCGCGGCUUAUCAGUUUGUUGGUGGGGUAGUGGCUUACCAAGGCUUUGACGGGUAGCCGGCCUGAGAGGGUGACGGGCCACAUUGGGACUGAAAUACGGCCCGAACCCCAACGGGAGGCAGCAGUGGGGAAUAUUGCACAAUGGUCGGAAGCCUGAUGCAGCAACGCCGCGUGCGGGAGGACGGCCUUCGGUUUGAAAACCGCUUUCGCCUGUGACGAAGCGUGAGUGACGGUAAUGGGUAAAGAAGCACCGGCUAACUACGUG
rnacentral:rRNA from 1 species